rnacentral:rRNA from 1 species
UACGGAGGAUCCGAGCGUUAUCCGGAUUUAUUGGGUUUAAAGGGGUGCGUAGGCGGCUUUAUAAGUCAGGGGUGAAAGACGGCAGCUUAACUGUCGCAGUGCCUUUGAUACUGUAGAGCUUGAAUGUGAUUGAAGAUGGCGGAAUGAGACAAGUAGCGGUGAAAUGCAUAGAUAUGUCUCAGAACUCCAAUUGCGAAGGCAGCUAUCUAAGUCAUGAUUGACGCUGAUGCACGAAAGCGUGGGGAUCAAACAGG